AGUGAACGUUGGCGGCGUGGAUUAGGCAUGCAAGUCGAGCGAGAACCGUAGCAAUACGGGGACAGCGGCGAAAGGGACAGUAAUGUGCAGGUACCUACCUCCGGGUUCGGGAUAGCUGCGGGAAACUGCAGGUAAUACCGAAUAACGUCUCCGGACCAAAGGCGUGAUUCCACCUGGAGAGGGGCCUGCAUCCUAUUAGCUUGUUGGCGGGGUAACGGCCCACCAAGGCGACGAUGGGUAGCGGGUGUGAGAGCACGACCCGCGUCAUUGGGACUGAAGCACUGCCCAGACACCUACGGGUGGCUGCAGUCGUGAAGCUUCGGCAAUGGGCGCAAGCCUGACCGAGCGACGCCGCGUGCGGGAUGAAGGCCUUCGGGUUGUAAACCGCUGUCGUAGAGGAGGAAAUGCAGGGGGGUUCUCCCCUCUGUUUGACCUAUUCUAGGAGGAAGUACGGGCUAAGUUCGUGCCAGCCGCCGCCGUAA
rnacentral:rRNA from 1 species